rnacentral:rRNA from 1 species
ACGAACGCUGGCGGCGUGCUUAACACAUGCAAGUCGAACGAUGACGACCGAGCUUGCUCGGUCUGAUUAGUGGCGAACGGGUGAGUAACACGUGAGCAACCUGCCCUUCACUCUGGGAUAACCUCGGGAAAUCGGGGCUAAUACCGGAUAUGAGCUCCUGUCGCUUGGCGGGUGUUGGAAAGUUUUUCGGUGAAGGAUGGGCUCGCGGCCUAUCAGUUUGUUGGUGAGGUAGUGGCUCACCAAGGCGAUGACGGGUAGCCGGCCUGAGAGGGCGACCGGCCACACUGGGACUGAGACACGGCCCAGACUCCUACGGGAGGCAGCAGUGGGGAAUAUUGCACAAUGGGCGAAAGCCUGAUGCAGCGACGCCGCGUGAGGGAUGACGGCCUUCGGGUUGUAAACCUCUUUCAGCAGGGAAGAAGCGAAAGUGACGGUACCUGCAGAAGAAGCGCCGGCUAACUACGUG